rnacentral:rRNA from 1 species
UACGAAGGGGGCGAGCGUUGUUCGGAUUUACUGGGCGUAAAGGGCGCGCAGGCGGCUUUGUUUGUCAGGCGUGAAAGCCCCGGGCUUAACCUGGGAACUGCGUUUGAUACGGCAGGGCUAGAGUUCGGGGGAGGAGAGUGGAAUUCCCAGUGUAGAGGUGAAAUUCGUAGAUAUUGGGAAGAACACCGGUGGCGAAGGCGGCUCUCGUGGACCGAUACUGACGCUGAGGAGCGAAAGCGUGGGGAGCGAACAGG